rnacentral:lncRNA from 10 species
UUGGGCAUAGGUCCUUAGGACCUCCUGAGGCUGUGUCACACGUGCACAUCCUUAACUUUGGCAAGAUAAACUUCCUAAAUUGACUGAGACCUAUCUUAGAUUUUGGGGGCUCACAGGAGGGAAAGACAAAUAUGGAAACAAAUAUUUUGAAGGCAACAAGCAGUUUUUGUACAUACCGCUGAAAUAAGUGGCAAAAAUCCACAUUAUGGGAUGUGGAUGGAGACACGGAGCCCCUCGAAUGGUAUAAUUGGCUUCAUUCACAGAUGACCCUCCAGCAACAGAACUACCUACUGAUCGUAAAUUCACCUGGGCAAAUCAUAAAUUCAAUAUGAGUGACACUCAUGAACAAUGUGUACCUCAUUCCACCACUAAAAGAAGAUUCAAGAGUAGGUCCCACCUUCAACACCGUACA